rnacentral:rRNA from 1 species
CACAACUCGUCGAAAGACGGGCUAAUAUCAGAUAAUGCAGCGGCUCCGCAUGGAGACAGUUGUUAAAGUACAAGCGCCUGAAGAUGAGCCUGCGGUCCAUUAGCUAGUUGGUAGAGUAACAGCCUACCAAGGCAACGAUGGAUAGCUGGUCUGAGAGGAUGAUCAGCCACACUGGAACUGAGACACGGUCCAGACUCCUACGGGAGGCAGUAGUAAGGAAUAUUGCUCAAUGGCCGAAAGGCUGAAGCAGCAACGCCGCGUGAAGGAUGAAUGGCCUUUGGCCUGUAAACUUCUGUAAAAAGGGAAAAACAAUCAGGCAUGUCCUGAUUUGAUUGUACCUUUGAAGUAAGCCCCGGCUAACUACGUG